UACAGAGGUCCCCAAGCGUUGUUCGGAUUCACUGGGCGUAAAGGGUGCGUAGGUGGCCAGGUAAGUUCGGUGUGAAAGCUCGGAGCUUAACUCCGAAAUGGCAUUGAAUACUAUCUGGCUAGAGGGUCGGAGGGGAGACUGGAAUUCUCGGUGUAGCAGUGAAAUGCGUAGAUAUCGAGAGGAACACCAGUGGCGAAGGCGAGUCUCUGGACGACACCUGACACUGAGGCACGAAAGCGUGGGGAGCAAACAGG
rnacentral:rRNA from 1 species